rnacentral:lncRNA from 10 species
CAGGCCGGAGGUGGGGCCCGAGUUCCUGUCUCCAGCCCACGAUUUGCCGAUCCAUCUGUCUUCCUCAGAGAGAGAGGGCGGAUAAUGCAGACUGCGCUUCCUUGGAAGACGGCAGGCUCCAGGCCAGACAAACGAAUGUAUCAACCAUACAGAUGAAGAGCUGAGGCUCAGGGAAGGAAUUUGCCAAGAUGAGCAAGAGAUGAAGUGACCCCUCCAACCCCACAGCUCAGCGUCUUUCUUGAAGCUCCAACUCCAGGGCCAUUGUUUUCCUGUUCUCCCCGCUCCAAGGCCUCUCCUCUCUCCUUGGCCCAACUCUCUGACAGUGAUGCAGGCUCCCAACAGUUUUAUAACCUGCUUCUUAAAAGAAAGCAGCGAAGAGCAAUCUGUCUACUGCUGAGUUAUCUCCUACUGCCAGCACAGCUUCCCAUGAUUUAUGAAGUUAAAAAAACCCACACAACCAAAC